UGCGUAGGCGGAAGAUUAAGUCAGUGGUGAAAUCCUGCAGCUCAACUGUAGAACUGUCAUUGAUACUGAUUUUCUUGAAUACAGUAGAGGUAGGCGGAAUAUGUAAUGUAGCGGUGAAAUGCUUAGAUAUUACAUAGAACACCGAUUGCGAAGGCAGCUUACUAUACUGUGACUGACGCUGAGGCACGAAAGCGUGGGGAGCGAACAGGAUUAGAUACCCUGGUAGUCC
rnacentral:rRNA from 1 species